rnacentral:lncRNA from 1 species
CAGGCAGGCUUUGCAACCCACCCAAAAGGCCUUACACAAGUUCAAGACUGCCACCCUUUAUGUACAUUACUUCCACCUUGUGCUUAGCCGAUGUGGGAUUUGCCUAAGGUGUGACACACACCCCCCAUUGGGACUCAGCGUCCUCGCUGAGGUUUGCCCCACCACCGGCCAGAGGGACAAGGCUUGGCUCUGAUACAAAUUGUAACAGCCCAGCCCUUGUGUAAUAUUGUCCGCUUUGGGGCGUUACGUAUCGCCGUCCCCCUCACGGUUUUGUUUUCAGGCAGGCUUUGCAACCCAACCAAAAGGCCUUACACAAGUUCAAGACUGCCACCCUUUAUGUACAUUACUUCCACCUUGUGCUUAGCCGAUGUGGG